rnacentral:rRNA from 1 species
UGGGGAAUCUUGGACAAUGGGCGCAAGCCUGAUCCAGCCAUGCCGCGUGAGUGAUGAAGGCCUUAGGGUUGUAAAGCUCUUUUGCCGGGGACGAUAAUGACGGUACCCGGAGAAUAAGUCCCGGCUAACUUCGUGCCAGCAGCCGCGGUAAUACGAAGGGGACUAGCGUUGUUCGGAAUCACUGGGCGUAAAGCGCACGUAGGCGGAUUUGUAAGUCAGGGGUGAAAUCCCGGGGCUCAACCUCGGAACUGCCUUUGAUACUGCGGAUCUCGAGUCCGAUAGAGGUGAGUGGAAUUCCUAGUGUAGAGGUGAAAUUCGUAGAUAUUAGGAAGAACACCGGUGGCGAAGGCGGCUCACUGGAUCGGUACUGACGCUGAGGUGCGAAAGCGUGGGGAGCAAACAGGAUUAGAUACCCACGUAGUCCCUGAGCGGGCUGGCAAGGCGCAU